CGGACGGGUGAGUAAUGUCUGGGGAAACUGCCUGAUGGAGGGGGGUAACUACUGGAAACGGUAGCUAAUACCGCAUAACGUCGCAAGACCAAAGAGGGGGACCUUAGGGCCUCUUGCCAUCGGAUGUGCCCAGAUGGGAUUAGCUAGUAGGUGGGGUAACGGCUCACCUAGGCGACGAUCCCUAGCUGGUCUGAGAGGAUGACCAGCCACACUGGAACUGAGACACGGUCCAG
rnacentral:rRNA from 1 species